GACGAACGCUGGCGGCGUGCUUAACACAUGCAAGUCGAGCGGUAAGGCCCUUUCGGGGGUACACGAGCGGCGAACGGGUGAGUAACACGUGGGUGACCUGCCCUCAGCUCUGGGAUAAGCCCGGGAAACUGGGUCUAAUACCGGAUAUGACUCCACGGUGCAUGUCGUGGGGUGGAAAGCCUUGUGCGGCUGAGGAUGGGCCCGCGGCCUAUCAGCUUGUUGGUGGGGUGAUGGCCACCAAGGCGACGACGGGUAGCCGGCCUGAGAGGGCGACCGGCCACACUGGGACUGAGACACGGCCCAGACUCCUACGGGAGGCAGCAGUGGGGAAUCUUGCGCAAUGGGCGAAAGCCUGACGCAGCGACGCCGCGUGA
rnacentral:rRNA from 1 species